GCCUAAGAAGCUGAUUAAGCGGUUAGCCUGCAAAGCUAAUUGAAGGAUGAUAUCCCUUAGGCU
rnacentral:tRNA from 1 species